rnacentral:rRNA from 1 species
UACGAAGGGGGCUAGCGUUGUUCGGAAUUACUGGGCGUAAAGCGCGCGCAGGCGGCUAUCCAAGUCAGUGGUGAAAGCCCGGAGCUCAACUCCGGAACUGCCAUUGAAACUGUUUAGCUUGAGGAUGAGAGAGGUGAGUGGAAUUCCCAGUGUAGAGGUGAAAUUCGUAGAUAUUGGGAAGAACACCGGUGGCGAAGGCGGCUCACUGGCUCAUUACUGACGCUCAGGCGCGAUAGCGUGGGGAUCAAGCAGG